GAUGAAGAACGUAGCGAAAUGCGAUACGUAAUGUGAAUUGCAGAAUUCAGUGAAUCAUCGAAUCUUUGAACGCAUAUUGCGCUCUUUGGUAUUCCGAAGAGCAUGCUUGUUUGAGUAUCAGUAAACACCUCAAAGCUUUUGGAUUUUUUAAUCGAAAAGCUUUGGACUUGAGCAAUCCCAACACCAAUCUUUUUGAGAUCGGUGGCGGGUUGCUUGAAAUGCAGGUGCAGCUGGACAUUCUCAUGAGCUAAAAGCAUAUUCAUUUAGUCCCGUCAAACGGAUUAUUACUUUUGCUGCAGCUAACAUAAAGGGAGUUUGACCGUAUUGGCUGACUGAUGCAGGAUUUCACAAGGGUCGGCAACGAUUCUUGUUAAACUCGAUCUCAAAUCAAGUAAGACUACCCGCUGAACUUAAGCAUAUCAAUAAGCGGAGGA
rnacentral:misc_RNA from 1 species